AAAGACAUUUUGUCACAAGCUGCAAUUUCUACUAAACAGGAUGGAGAAUAUUACCAAUUACCAGGAUGCAUUUCCAGAGGUUGAGCUAGAUUUUGAAGAUCUACAGUUCGAUGACAGUACUAAAUCUCAAACACAACUGGCCAUGGAUGAUGAUCUGAAAGACAUCGGAAAUCUCUGGGCAACAUCUGUCCAAGUUUCAAACAAGACAUUUACAGAUGUUUAUAAACAGGAAGAAAAUGCAGACAGUUCUGAUAACAGUGAAGAGAGUGCAUUGCAUAAUCUGCCUGAUGUAAAAACAGGAUCUACAGUUUACCUGCCUUCUGGAGUAUCUUAUGAACAGGUUUUAAAAAAGACAAUAAUGGAAACACAACAACUGAGCCAGACAUGCGAAGAGUACACUGUAGAGGAAGAAAACAGGAAAGGUGACUCAGAAACAGGUGUUCUUGCCGAUGUCAACACACAGAGAGAAGAAAGGUUCAGAGAGGAGGAAACCAUUAAACUUCAGUUUGAAUCUCCUGAGGGUCUGGACAUUUCUAGUGCAGAAUAUCCGCCAUUCAUGGAACAAACAUCACAUCCAGUGUCUAGUGGAACUCGGAUGAUACAGAAGAGAUCAUCAGUGUCAGAUGAGUCAGUCAGCUGCAGUGCAGAAGAUCAAACAUCCCAUUGUAAAUCUGAUGGUAACAAGGAUGAACUUUUUGUUGCAGGGUGCCAUGUCAGAUAUGAUUUGAGGGAGUUUACAGAGGAAGACCAAGAACAGGUAGAGGAAAGUCUUGCAGAAUACCCCUCAGAUUUAUCCCAAAGUGAAUCUGAGACAUGUGCUGAAAGUGGAAGGAACAAGCUGGUCAUCCCCUUAGAUAGCAGUUUUUGCUACGAUCACUCUGCACAUGAAAUAAAAGAUUCAUCUGGGGCAGAAGGAAACUUUCAAGAGCGAGAGAGAAAAACAGAUUGUUCUGCCACAGACAGUAAUUCUAAGAUUAAUAAACUAGGGAUUGAUUAUAUAUCAGAUAUAGCAGAUAUAAAUGUGUCAUUACAGACUGUGAAUGCCAAUGAAGAUGACCUCCAAGGGAUUCUAACAAAGGAUUAUAUCACAGUGGAAGACACCAAGAAUAAAGAGGACUCUGGAGAUGAAAGAGAUGUUAAUGACCAACCAGGUUAUGACAGUGACAUCAGUAAUGAUGACAACAGCACAAGUCAAGAAGAAACUAGUUUUCUCCCAUCUGAGAAGGACAAAUGGAAAAAUGUUACACAGCAUAACUUCACAGACGACACGGUGAGGGCUGAUAGUAUCAAUUACAAAGAGACAGAUAAGGAUGGUACAAAUGAUAGCAAUCUGGAGAAGUCUAUCCAUAGUGCAGAACAUUUGACUUUCAAUGUAUCAAUCAGUGAGGGCAAGGAGACAACCUCCACAAGCAAAACCUCUUUAUCAUAUGGCGAAUACUGUCACAAGGAAUCCAAUGAACAAUCCACAGAGUUGCACUCCAAACUUGAAAUAGUCCAGCUGGGCUCAGCCAUUAAAGAACAAGUCCAGUCACCUUCAGAGGUUACAGACAGCAUAAGAGAUACCAACACUUUAAUACCUGAAGCAUUUUGGUCCUCAGUACUGAUGGAUGAUGACAGCCUAUGCUUAGAUGACUAUAACUGGAACUUGACUGAAGGGGAGCUAAGUGAAGCAGAAAAACAGGAAGCCAUAGAAGAAACCCUAGGGAAGAUGGACCACAGUGAAGAUGGAGAAGAGAAUGAGAGUGACUGGGAGAAGAAGACCAGAAUUGAGGCAUUUAACCAAUUUUAUGGUGACCAGACUGAGACAUGGGGUGAAAUAGGCAGGAAUCAUAGAGUUACCUUUUGCUUGGAUCAUGAACCUUCUGAAUAUGAGGAGGACUCUGAAAGCACUGAAGAGGAACAGGACAAAGAGCCCCACGCAGCUGUUACUACGGUGAAACCUGAGUACCACAGUGAGUCAGAUGAGCCAGAAGAGAAGCUUUUCCAUCCGGAGAAGCCAAAGACACGACCAAAGGAGCAGCAACAUGUGAGCCCAGCACUGAAGACACACCCUCAAAGAAACAGGUGUCUUGCUGUGCUGAAAUCAGCUUUAGCACUGGGCCUGAUGACAGCAGUAGGUGUGCUGUCUUUCUGGUGGGCAACAGACAGUCUGGACCAGACACACUGAAUUCAAACCUUAUUGUUGAUUAUUAAUUAAAAAUAACUCAAUGUAGGUUGGAAGAAUCAAUCUAAUAAAAAAAGCCCAGAUAUUCUACACUGUUGCGACAUAGGUAUAAAUAUAGAAAAGGGGGCAUGGAUUACUCUUUGAAUUUUUAGUUAAAAAAAGAAAACCAUUGAUGUCAUAGUGGUUUGUUGAUCCUGGUGAAAAAUAACAUCCAGUGAGUCAGCUGUGAUUGGACCAACUUUAUUUCCUUACAGAUUACAAUGUUUCAACAUGCUCCAGGGCUGUGUUUUUAAAUGGUGAAAAAGACAUUUGUCUCACCAUAAUGUAAUUACUCUGUAUACUUCAACAUUAAUGUUGGCCUACAGGAAAACAAUCUAUUUCAGUGCACAGAUGUUUUUAUCACUGUUUUUCUUCUUUAUAGGCACAUAAUCUAUUGUUACCAUUAUCAAUUAAAACAAAUUCCUCUAAUCAUGCCAUGCAGUUAGUGUGAAUAGUGGGACUGAAUAUUUCCACCUUUUUUAUAUUAAAGCAUUGACUAUGAUUUCUUGGUGCAAGAUACCAUUUCUGUGAAACUUCAUGACCCUUUGCCAUCAUGCUCUACUGUAAAUUCAGCUCAAUCCCAUAACAUUUCCUGUGCCUUCUUACAGUGAAGAACAAUUAGGAUUAAACAAGUAAUGAUGCUUUUUUUUGGUUUCUUUUUCUGUUUAACACAAGCUACAUUUCUAGCAAGCAACGGCCUGCAUGAUCACUCUUUCUCAGUGGUUCAGUGUGUCUACAGCAUCAGCAACAAUAAACACAGCAAGAUUAGUCCCAUUUUGAGGAAUUUACAACAAAAGCUCUGAUAUUCAAUCUGCCAGUUUAGUGACUAUGGAUGUUUAAUGACUCAGAUGUUAAUAAAAAUCACUGAAUUGAUGUGAAAUGAAAC
ensembl:lncRNA